CACGUAGGCGGCGAUUUAAGUCAGAGGUGAAAGCCCGGGGCUCAACCCCGGAACUGCCUUUGAGACUGGAUUGCUUGAAUCCUGGAGAGGUGAGUGGAAUUCCGAGUGUAGAGGUGAAAUUCGUAGAUAUUCGGAGGAACACCAGUGGCGAAGGCGGCUUACUGGUCCAUUACUGACGCUGAGGCUCGAAAGCGUGGGGAGCAAAACA
rnacentral:rRNA from 1 species